AUUGAACGCUGGCGGCAGGCUUAACACAUGCAAGUCGAGCGAGCGGAGGACGGGUGAGUAAUGUCUGGGAAACUGCCUGAUGGAGGGGGAUAACUCCUGGAAACGGUAGCUAAUACCGCAUACCAUCAGAUGUGCUCCGAUUGGAUUAGCUAGUAGGUGGGGUAAUGGCUCACCUAGGCGACGAGCCCUAGCUGGUCUGAGAGGAUGACCAGCCACCCUGGAACUGGGACACGGGCCAGACUCCUACGGGAGGCAGCAGUGGGGAAUAUUGCACGAAGGGCGCAAGCCUGAUGCAGCAAUGCCGCGUGUGUGAAGAAGGCCUUCGGGUUUUAAAGCACUUUCAUCAAGGAGGCGGUACUCGCAGAAGAAGCACCGGCUAACUCCGUGCCAGCGGCCGCGGUAAUAC
rnacentral:rRNA from 1 species